GUGCUGGCUUUCACAGCACAUAUACUAAAAUUGGAACAAUAUAGAGAAGAUUAGCAUGGCCUUUGGGCAAGGAUGACACGCAAAUUUGUGAAGCAAAAAGGCUUGAA